rnacentral:rRNA from 1 species
UACAGAGGGUGCGAGCGUUAAUCGGAAUUACUGGGCGUAAAGGGCGCGUAGGCGGCUAUGUAAGUUAGAUGUGAAAGACUUGGGCUUAACCUGGGAACUGCAUUUAAGACUGUAUAGCUAGAGUAGGGUAGAGGAAAGGGGAAUUUCCGGUGUAGCGGUGAAAUGCGUAGAUAUCGGAAAGAACAUCAGUGGCGAAGGCGACUUUCUGGACUUAUACUGACGCUGAGGCGCGAAAGCAUGGGUAGCAAACAGG